rnacentral:lncRNA from 1 species
ACUGAGGGAAGAAUGUUAGUAACAAAGUGUUUUUGUCAGUGUUUAUUUAGGUCUAUAUUUCUGGCUAUAUCUUGUAUGGCUGAGGUCACUGGUUGAAGGAGAUAUUUUGUAUUUACCUGGUAAUUUAUAUUUACCUUAGCAUUACUAAACCAUGAGCUCCUAUUAGAUUUGGGCUUUUUGAAUUUAGAGUCUCUGUGCCCCCUCCCCCCCUUUACUCCUAAUGCCUGGCAUGGUGCCUAUACAAAGUGGGAAUUCUCUAGUUUUUGAAUACCAUUCUCCUUAUGAAAAUUAGGUAAGAUUUAACAUAUCUUAUUGGCAGCGCAGAUUUCAAAAAGCUCUAAAAACGGACCAUUUUUUAAAGCAAGCAUGAUGGCACAUUCCACCUGAAAUUGGUAGUCUAAUCAUAGUCUAUCUGUCAUAACCCGAUUUUCCAUUUUGAUGCAGAAAUAUUAAUGUAUUUGAUUGCAGGUGCUACCCAGGCUACCCUGGGAGAGGUUAGAUCAUUUUUGUUUUUGUUUUUUUUGUUGUUGUUUUUUGGGGGGGGUGGGGUUGAGAUAUAGAAGUCAAAACAGUAAAUGACUCCCAGAAUUGUGUUUAGUGGAGAUACUAACAUUUUCUAUAAGAUCUCAGGAAUGUCUCAUUUGCCUGUGUAUUUUUCAGAGAUUUUUAAUGACUAAAAGCUACUAAAGAUACAGAGAGUGUUUUGUUUUUUUUUUUUAAGAUAAUUUGUUCUAAUACUCAGGACACCACUUUUUUUUCUCUGCUUCUACUGAAUUAAAAUGUCUUAUGUGAAAGUAGGUGAGAAUGUGCACAUAGUACAUAUUUACUUUGCCAAGGAAAGAUGAAAUAAGCAAGAGGAAAUUCUGUGUUCUGACAGUUUAGUAGACAGUGAGUAGACUUGCCUUUUUCCAAACAUUGAUAUACCAUUUUUCUAUUUAGAUAUUUGGAUGUUGAAACGUAACUCCAUUUUGUAUCAACACCUGGACAGAAUGUAAUGAUUGAUUUUGUAAUGCAUUGUGUUUGGGAGAGGAACAUUUGGUUUUGUGUCAUAUCUGGCAGGAAUGUGUUUUUGUGUUACUGUUUACAUUAAAUUUCAAUGCUUGCUCUACAUUCAAAUUUUGUACUUAAUUUUCUGUUUGUAAAAGAGUCUUUCAUAGAUUGGUAAAAUAAUAGUAUGCAGUAAAUUUAUCAUGCUGUACAAAGGACCUCAUUCUUUUUGGCUUAAUUUUACUACUUAAUACCUUAAAAAUGCUUCACAGCUUGCUAAGCACUUUCCUGUUACACUAUAAUAACUUUAUAUAGUUGUCAUUUUGAUGUUAAGUUUUACAGCAAGGUUAGGAGUUCCCACUCUGGUACAGUGAGUUACAAAUCUAACUUAGGCAGCUCAGGUGGCUGCAGAAGCACAGGUUUGAUCCCAGGCUUGGUGCAGUGUGUCAAAGGAUCCCAUAUUGCUGCAGCUGUGGUAUAGGUUGCAGCUCCAGCUCAGAUUCAGUCCCUGGCCUAGGAAUUUCCAUAUCCUGUGAGUGUGGCCAUUUAAAAAAAAGAAAAGUUAAGUUUUAAAAUUAACAUAAAGAUGGAAAAAUCAAACCCUUUUUGUAAGAAAAUUAGUAAUUGGGAAUUUUGGAGGCCAUUUUAUCCUUAGAUUUGAGUUAACAUGUAAUGUCUUUCUCAGUUUAAUGCUACUCUAUAGGAAAAAUCCUAAUAUAUUGAAUUAAGUAGGUAUAAAUUAAGUCAGCAUAAUUUAAUUAAAUUAAUAUGGAAGUUCAAAAGACAAGUAGUAGGAAAUUUGUGUCAAGGUUGACUUUCUGGCAAAAUACAACAGCUGCUCACAUUUUUAAAGUGUAAACAUAGGAGUUCCUGUUGUGGCUCAGUGGUUAAGGAACUUGACUAGCAUCCAUGAGGACGCUGGUUUGAUCCUUGGCUUUGCUCAGUGGGUUAAGGAUACUGUGUUGCUGUGAGUUGUGGUGUAGGUCUCAGAUGCAGCUCGGAUCCCUCACUGCUAUGGCUGUGGCGUAGGCCAGCAACUACAGCUCCGAUUGGAUCCCUGGCCUGGGAGCCUCCAUGUGGCACGGGUGUGGCCCUAAAAAGACAAAAAAAGAGAGAAAAAAGUAAACAUAUUUAUCCAGAAACAAAAACUUUAAGUAAUAGUACUGUGUUAUAAUGAGAGUAAGCAAUAAUAUAUCACAGGUACACAUUUUACAGAUUUAUUUAUUAUCGCACCAUUAUUUUUUGAGGAGUCGUUUGUCUUGAUUUAGGAGUGCACAAAAUAGUGUUUUGGGGGUGUUUUUAUAAUUUUAUGUAUGUCUGGCCUUGUAAAAAAUCAGAGCUAUUUAGAACCUUUCUCAUCUGUGCACACUCAAGAGAAGUUGUACAUAGUUUAUAGACAUGUCAGGCCAAACUUUGAAGUCUGGCAAAAUUGUUUAACCUGAUACAGCAGUCUCCAAAGUUUAAAUUUGAUAUAUGAUGCAUUUUUGUGUUCUGUAUGUUUGUGACUUACGCAUCCUAAGACAUAUAUAUGUAUAAAACAAUUGUAGUCCAGUGCUUCAGGGGAUUUGACCUCUGACUGCUGUUGAGAUGUUUCAGAGCAUAGUUUAAAAACCUCUAGUCUCAGUGUAGAGUUGCUUCCAACCUAAAAUUCUAUGUUUUAAAAAUAUCAAGGAGUUCCCGUCGUGGCGCAGUGGUUAACGAAUCCGACUAGGAACCAUGAGGUUGCGGGUUCGAUCCCUGCCCUUGCUCAGUGGGUUAACGAUCCGACGUUGCCGUGAGCUGUGGUGUAGGUUGCAGACGCGGCUCGGAUCCUGCGUUGCUGUGCCUCUGGCGUAGGCCGGUGGCUACAGCUCCGAUUCCACCCCUAGCCUGGGAACCUCCAUAUGCCGCGGGAGCGGCCCAAGAAAUAGCAACAAAACAACAAAAAAAAAAUAAAAAUAAAAAUAAAAAAAAAUAAAAAUAUCGACUUUUUCUUCUUUCUGAAGAUACAAAGUUCAUAGAAUUGACUUGUUUUUGAGUCGCAUUUGGAUAUAAAUUGUUUACGUUUAAAUUUUAGGUCCUACUGGCUGAAUAUUUGCCUUCUACAUUUUCAAGUGAAUUCUUUAAUAAUUUGAGUGUUUAUUCUCUUCUAGACCUUGUUGUAAAUGCUGGGUAUAUAUCAUGGUAAACAAGACAAGUCUUCGCCUUCAUAGAACUAACAUCUUAGAGGAGGAGACAGAUAACAAUUUCAAAGGGCGGCAAUUGUGAUGAUGAAAAUAAAGGGGGAAACGGUAUAACAACUGGUUAGGGAUAGAAGGAGGGGAAUUCGUUUAAGUAAGUAGGAUGAUGAGAGGAAGACCUCUGGAGGUGGCUUUUGAGCAGAAACUGAAAAAGGAGAACACCAUGCAAAAAUCUGGGUGAAUUUUUUUCCCGGGCAGAAAGAAUAGAAGACUCUGAAAUGAAGUCAAAUUUUUCAUGUUUGAUGAAAACAAAGAAUUUCGUCAGUAGUGACUUACUGCUUUCUACAUAAAUAGGGGUAAACUUUAAAGGGAA